rnacentral:lncRNA from 1 species
AGAGCUAAGGGUUAUUUGUGCAUAAUUUCCUUAUAGUUAAGGAACGGAUUGAACUUGACAUCCUUAGAGUUAAGGAUUGGAUCAUACUCGCUAUAAGUCCUUGCUCGAGGGCGGUAGCUCCCCCUCGAGCGAUGCGCUCCGGAGUUUGUCAUCACUGGGUUGGUGCUGUUCCCCAGAGGACGGUCCCCGUCGGGUUGUAGGAGUCUCCUCGACGAUUUGGGAUUUUGAGUUGGUGAGUUAAUGCGGCGAAACCCACGGGUUAGCCCGAGAUUGAAUGAAAGAUCAAAGAACUUGCAUUCUUCAUGAGUUUUUACAUUGAGCAUUCUUAUUGAUAGCUUUGUUCAGGUAUAUUAGUUGCAUUGUAUAGUUGGUUACUUAUCUGCUUUCUUUCUAUUAUGCUUGAGUUAGACCUAGUGGGAAAGUCGGUAAGAUUGGGGCCGAACCCACUAGGAACUUCGUUGUAGUUCUCACCCCACUAUUUCCAUAGAGCCGGGACCGAGCGAGCCGGCAAGCGACCGCGGUAAAGGUAUCGCGCCGUAGACAGUGACUACCCGAGUCGGGUUUUCAUACUUUGCUAGUAGAUGCAUUCCCUUAUAUAUCAUCUUUUGUAUUUGAUGAUUAAAGAUGUUAAAGCAAAGAAUGUAAUCUUUUAUUUUGAAAUCUUUUAUUUUGAGGAGAUGUGAUGUAAAAAGAAAUGAUGAAAAGCAAUGUAAAGGUAAAUGUGAUAGUUGAAUGCUUGUAAAUGGUUAAAAGUUAAUCAUU